AUGCUCUCACAGCACCAGCAACACACGCACAAGGCCCUGGCGGCGCCGGUGAAGCUAGAGGCGGCCGACGGAGAGGAAGCAGGUCACCAAGUCAGCGACGGGCGCGCGUUCCGCGGGGUGCGCAAGCGGCCAUGGGGCAAGUACGCGGCGGAGAUCCGUGACUCGACGCGGAACGGCGUGCGUGUGUGGCUGGGCACCUUCGACAGCCCGGAGACUGCGGCGCUGGCAUACGACCAAGCUGCCUUCGCCAUCCGCGGCGGCGCCGCCGUGCUCAACUUCCCCGCCGACCAUGUCCGGCGUUCGCUUGAGGGCGUAGCAGACGACGUGUGCGGUCGUGCCCAUAGCGUGUCGCCCGUGCUCGCGCUCAAGCGGCGGCACUCCAUGCGGAGCCGGAAGGCCACGGCGGCGGGCAGGAAGGUGAAGGCCGCCACCCGGGGGGCGCAGCCAGAGGGCAUGGUGAUGGAGCUUGAGGACCUCGGUGCGGAGUACCUCGAGCAGCUGCUCGGCGCCUCCGAGGACACAGCCACCAUGGAUUCAUGGUGCUGGAGCCACCACUUUAUCUGA
rnacentral:rRNA from 1 species